GCGAAGAUGAACCCCCACCCCCCGGCGAAGAUGAAGACACUUCACCACGAGACUUCUCUCAGGACCUUGUGAGUUGGUGAAAACAACUGCCACCUGCCAGGUGCUCCACCUUUGCCAAGUGCUUUCACACACAGCACACCUGAAACUCGCAACAGCCCAGUGAGGAGCUGGCGGAACCACUUGGUUGUUGAAUCAGGGAAAGUGAGCAAAUGACUAUUGCUACGGAGAUGAC